rnacentral:rRNA from 1 species
UACGAAGGGGGCUAGCGUUGCUCGGAAUCACUGGGCGUAAAGCGCGCGUAGGCGGAUUUGUACGUCAGGGGUGAAAUCCCGGGGCUUAACCUCGGAACUGCCUUUGAUACUGCAAGUCUUGAGUCCGGAAGAGGUGAGUGGAAUUCCUAGUGUAGAGGUGAAAUUCGUAGAUAUUAGGAAGAACACCAGUGGCGAAGGCGGCUCAAUGGUCCGGUACUGACGCUGAGGUGCGAAAGCGUGGGGAGCAAACAGG